rnacentral:tRNA from 1 species
GAAUAAGAAGCGAAAUCUCGCAUUUAGUUUCGGCCUAAAAACUUGAUGGUUAUACAUCCUUAUUUA